rnacentral:rRNA from 1 species
CCUACGGGAGGCAGCAGUGGGGAAUAUUGGGCAAUGGGCGCAAGCCUGACCCAGCAACGCCGCGUGAAGGAAGAAGGCUUUCAGGUUGUAAACUUCUUUUGUCAGGGAAGAGUAGAAAACGGUACCUGACGAAUAAGCCACGGCUAACUACGUUCCAGCAGCCGCGGUAAUACGUAGGUGGCAAGCGUUGUCCGGAUUUACUGGGUGUAAAGGGCGUGUAGCCGGGUUGACAAGUCAGAUGUGAAAUCCUGCGGCUUAACCGCAGAACUGCAUUUGAAACUGUUGAUCUUGAGUAAUGGAGAGGCAGAUGGAAUUCCGAGUGUAGCGGUGAAAUGCGUAGAUAUUAGGCGGAACACCAGUGGCGAAGGCGGCUUACUGGACAGUAACUGACGUUGAGGCUCGAAAGCGUGGGGAGCAAACAGGAUUAGAUACCCGAGUAGUC